GCCAGAGGGAGCAGGCUCUCUCUGACUGUAGAGGGAGAUGGUCCUGGCUGCAGGGAGCUGGACAUAAGCAAACAGCCAAGACAAGAUGCCUAAGACCUUGAAAGAUGCCCUGCAGGAGGUUCUGGAUGAGCUGGGGAAAGAGGAUUUCGAGCGAUUCAAGGCAAAACUAAACAACCUUCCGGAGGUGCCCCAGGGCUGUAACAGAAUCCCCAAGGGGAAGCUGGAGGAGGCAAACCGCCUCGCUGUGUGUGAUCUGAUCGUAAAUUACUACACCACGACGGGGGCUCUUCCGGUGGCCAUGGGCGUCCUCAAAGGAAUCAACCAGAACGAGCUGGCCAUAAAGCUUCAGACACUCGUGUAUAACUAGAGCUGAUGACCAUCGUGUGGCACUGAUGACAGAGUGAAAGGAUGUGCUGCUUCUCUUGUCAAGCUACGAG